UAGGGCAACUCGAAAUGGCCACGGAUGUUAACUAACUCCCUCCUCAACAGUCUGAGAAAAGGGAAAAAAAAACUGUUAAACUGAAAAACUUCUUGUGAAGGACCAUGUCUUAUCCAUCUUGUAUCCUCAGUUCUUAGCAGGAUGUCUGGCUGCAAAAGGAGAAAAACUCCACAGCAAAGGAUAAAGAAGUUAGAAGUCCUGGCAGGAAUCAGAAAAGAAAGGUACAGAAGACUGAUUAAGCAAAUCCUGAGAAGCAGAGUCUUCAGCUCUCUUCCAUGAAACUGUGGUGUGUCUUCUUCACUUUGGCCAAGUGCCCAGCUACGAGAAUUCUCCCACAAGAUGAGCAUGUUUCAGAGCAAACUCUUAUCCUAACUGUUGGUGUAAAAAAGCCCAACCCUACAUUCUGUUCAGGGCUUUGGUGAAGUCUGUAAGCCAAAACAGAGGAGCACGACUUCCUCCAUUAAACUGGCUGGAACCCAGGUUAUACUAAUUCAGUCUAAAUAGAAAACCUCUGCUUUUCAAUCCCUUUGUUCUCUUGGAUGUCACA